GUCUGCAACCCGACUCCAUGAAGCUGGAUUCGCUAGUAAUCGCGCAUCAGCCACGGCGCGGUGAAUACCGUUCCCGGGCCUUGUACACACCGCCCGUCAAGCCAUGAAAGCCGGGGGUACCUGAAGUCCGUAACCGUAAGGAGCGGCCUAGGGUAAAACUGGUAAUUGGGGCUAAGUCGUAACAAGGUAAC
rnacentral:rRNA from 1 species